CGGGUGAGUAACACGUGGAUAACCUACCUAUAAGACUGGGAUAACUUCGGGAAACCGGAGCUAAUACCGGAUAAUAUAUUGAACCGCAUGGUUCAAUAGUGAAAGACGGUUUUGCUGUCACUUAUAGAUGGAUCCGCGCCGCAUUAGCUAGUUGGUAAGGUAACGGCUUACCAAGGCAGCGAUGCGUAGCCGACCUGAGAGGGUGAUCGGCCACACUGGAACUGAGACACGGUCCAG
rnacentral:rRNA from 1 species